UACGUAGGGGGCGAGCGUUGUCCGGAUUUAUUGGGCGUAAAGAGCUCGUAGGCGGUCUGUCGCGUCUGCUGUGAAAACUCAGGGCUUAACCCUGAGCUUGCAGUGGGUACGGGCAGACUAGAGUGCGGUAGGGGAGACUGGAAUUCCUGGUGUAGCGGUGAAAUGCGCAGAUAUCAGGAGGAACACCGGUGGCGAAGGCGGGUCUCUGGGCCGAAACUGACGCUGGAGGAGCGAAAGCCGUGGGGAGCGAACAGG
rnacentral:rRNA from 1 species